AAGUCGUAACAAGGUCUCCGUUGGUGAACCAGCGGAGGGAUCAUUACCGAGUUUACAACUCCCAAACCCAUGUGAACAUACCUUUUGUUGCUUCGGCGGGAUGCCCCCGGCGCCUAGCGUGCCCGGGACCCAGGCCCCCGCCGGAGGACCCAAACUCUUGUUUUUAUAUAGAACUUCUGAGUGGAUUAUUUUAAUAAUUAAAACUUUCAACAACGGAUCUCUUGGUUCUGGCAUCGAUGAAGAACGCAGCGAAAUGCGAUAAGUAAUGUGAAUUGCAGAAUUCAGUGAAUCAUCGAAUCUUUGAACGCACAUUGCACCCGCUAGUAUUCUGGCGGGCAUGCCUGUCCGAGCGUCAUUUCAACCCUCAAGCAACCUCUGCUUGGUGUUGGGGAUCGGCCGUUAAAAGCCGUCCCCUAAAUCUAUUGGCGAUCUCGCUGUAGCUUCCUAUGCGUAGUAGUAACAUCUCGCAUCUGGAGAGCGGCGCGGUCAAGCCGUAAAACACCCCACNUUUUUUCAGGUUGACCUCAGAUCAGGUAGGAAUACCCGCUGAACUUAAGCAUAUCAAUAAGCGGAGGAAAAGAAACCAACAGGGAUUGCCCCAGUAACGGCGAGUGAAGCGGCAACAGCUCAAAUUUGAAAUCUGGCCCCAGGCCCGAGUUGUAAUUUGUAGAGGAUGUUUCUGACGAGGUACCUUCCGAGUUCCCUGGAACGGGACGCCAUAGAGGGUGAGAGCCCCGUACGGUUGGUCGCCAAGUCUCUGUGAAACUCCUUCGACGAGUCGAGUAGUUUGGGAAUGCUGCUCUAAAUGGGAGGUAUACGUCUUCUAAAGCUAAAUAUAGGCCAGAGACCGAUAGCGCACAAGUAGAGUGAUCGAAAGAUGAAAAGCACUUUNAAAAGAGGGUUAAAUAGUACGUGAAAUUGUUGAAAGGGAAGCGCAUAUGACCAGACUUGGCCAGGUUAAUCAUCCAUCGUUCUCGGUGGUGCACUUUGCCUGGCCAGGCCAGCAUCAGUUCGCUUUGGGGGAUAAAGACCUCGGGAAUGUGGCUNCUUCGGGAGUGUUAUAGCCCGUUGUGUAAUACCCUGGGGUGGACUGAGGUUCGCGCAUCUGCAAGGAUGCUGGCGUAAUGGUCAUCUGCGACC
rnacentral:rRNA from 1 species